UCACUGUUGAACUUGGAACUCUGCUCUAGUCCCUGAUACUCUUUCAAAUCAAGGUUAAGGUAGGUAUGACUCUGGGUGUGAACUGUUAAUCCCCUUUAGUUUGUUAACACAGGAAAAAAGCUGGAGAGAUUUGUGUUUAUUUGUUCUUUGAACAGUAGAGUGCUUAAAUGUGAAGUGGUACUGCAGGUUGAGACUUGAAGAUUGGCGUUAUUGAGAGGAAAGCCUCUUCAUCCUGGGACCGGGCUGUCAUCAAAGAAAGCGCCAGGUAGCGCCAUUCAGAGAAUCCACAGAGCGCAGCAGAAACCGCCUCCCCCUGCCAGCACUUGUAAAUCAAGGGAAGUAAUGGGUGGAUAAUGACCGUCUGGAGCAGAUUGAAUGAUAACAAACUGCGCGUGGCACAGCGCAUUUUCAUUUUCACCGUCGUCACGGGGAGCCCCCCCGGCGCCGUGGCGGCCGGCUCGGCUGGCUCUUUUUUUUUUUGGCAAGCCUGUAAAUUCCGGGAGAGAGGGGCGGAACGUCAGCCCGGGAGACGCCGUGACAAGAAAUGCCGAUGAUUUAAUCCCACCCGUCAGGGCUGCUCAGGGCGCCCCUGAGCCACGGAUCUGAGCUGAGCCGACGCCGGCAGUCUCGCGUAUCUCCAAAAAGAAGAGGAUAAAAACCACAGCGUACACUUUCAGAAUAAUGGAUAAGUAGACAGCUCGGUCUCUGCGUUUUGGGGUGGAGGUUCAUUUGGCUGCUAAUUGGUGACAGAAACUGUCAAAUGGGUAACAGGGUGACUGUCAUGAUCAGGUGAGAGGGCUUUUUCUUUCCAAAGAAAGGUAAAAAAUAAUAAAAUAAUGACGCCUUCUCUUUCCUUCUCCUACUACCUGCUCAUCUCUUAUCUGCUGAAAGUACACAGAAAACAAAGCAGUCAGAGCAACAACAAAAAUAAAUCUAAAAAAAUGUUUUUUCUCUCCCUCUCCUUCUCUGUCUCAUCUUUUUGUCUCCUGUCCUCUCUGCGAGGUUUAUCAGAAUGUUUGUUUGUUGAGUCGUGUUUGUUUGCUCGCAGGAUAAUGCGACAUGCCAGCAGCGUUCAG